ACGUACCAUCGUAUCGCCCAACAGACACAUUAGAAAUAAAUGAGCUUAUAGAAUUCGUCAAGAGCAAGAAUCUAUCAAUUGAAGGUUCUAUUGAUGACUUGAAAACCAGAUACUUGAAUAGUGAAAGAAGUUGCAUCAUGGAUGGAAUCGAUAUCAGACUACCAGACACGCCAUUUGAUUUUGUACAUUAUAACAUCUCGGACAAUUGUAUGCGUGUCAACGUUUUUGUAGACAUAUCAGGAAUAGAUAUCUUAAGAACAUUUACUGCAUAUGUUGAGCUUGAUCCAUGUCACUAUGUCAUACAAGCGGCCUUUGAGAAGUUACACAAAACUGUGAUUCUUUUCGAAUAUGAUUGGGGUA